AUUGAACGCUGGCGGCAGGCCUAACACAUGCAAGUCGAGCGAGUGGCGGCCGGGUGAGUAAUGAAUGGGGAACUGCCCGAUGGAGGGGGAUAACUACUGGAAACGGUGGCUAAUACCGCAUACUAUCGGAUGAACCCAGAUGGGAUUAGCUGGUAGUUGGGGCAAAGGCUCACCAAGGAGACGAUAGCUAGCUGGUCUGAGAGGAUGAUCAGCCACACUGGAACUGAGACACGGCCCAGACUCCUACGGGAGGCAGCAGUGGGGAAUAUUGCACAAUGGGCGCAAUCCUGAUGCAGCCAUGCCGCGUGUAUGAAGAAGGCCUUAGGGUUGUAAAGUACUUUCAGCGGGGAGGCGUUACCCGCAGAAGAAGCACCGGCUAACUCCGUGCCAGCAGCCGCGGUAAUAC
rnacentral:rRNA from 1 species